GGGUUGUGAGGUUAAGCGACUAAGCGUACACGGUGGAUGCCCUGGCAGUCAGAGGCGAUGAAGGACGUGCUAAUCUGCGAUAAGCGUCGGUAAGGUGAUAUGAACCGUUAUAACCGGCGAUUUCCGAAUGGGGAAACCCAGUGUGAUUCGUCACACUAUCAUUAACUGAAUCCAUAGGUUAAUGAGGCGAACCGGGGGAACUGAAACAUCUAAGUACCCCGAGGAAAAGAAAUCAACCGAGAUUCCCCCAGUAGCGGCGAGCGAACGGGGAGCAGCCC
rnacentral:rRNA from 2 species